rnacentral:rRNA from 1 species
GCUCAGGACGAACGCUGGCGGCGUGCCUAAUACAUGCAAGUAGAACGCUGAAGGAGGAGCUUGCUUCUCCGGAUGAGUUGCGAACGGGUGAGUAACGCGUAGGUAACCUGCCUGGUAGCGGGGGAUAACUAUUGGAAACGAUAGCUAAUACCGCAUAAGAGUAGAUGUUGCAUGACAUUUGCUUAAAAGGUGCAAUUGCAUCACUACCAGAUGGACCUGCGUUGUAUUAGCUAGUUGGUGGGGUAACGGCUCACCAAGGCGACGAUACAUAGCCGACCUAAGAGGGUGAUCGGCCACACUGGGACUGAGACACGGCCCAGACUCCUACGGGAGGCAGCAGUA